rnacentral:rRNA from 1 species
AUGGCUCAGGAUGAACGCUAGCUACAGGCUUAACACAUGCAAGUCGAGGGGCAUCAUGGAGUUGCUUGCAAACUCUGAUGGCGACCGGCGCACGGGUGAGUAACGCGUAUCCAACCUUCCCUAUAGUAGAGGAUAGCCCGGCGAAAGUCGGAUUAAUACUCUAUGUUUUCCGUUGCAGACAUCUAAGAUGGAACAAAGGCUUGCCGCUAUAGGAUGGGGAUGCGUCUGAUUAGGUAGUCGGCGGGGUAACGGCCCACCGAGCCAUCGAUCAGUAGGGGUUCUGAGAGGAAGGUCCCCCACAUUGGAACUGAGACACGGUCCAAACUCCUACGGGAGGCAGCAGUGAGGAAUAUUGGUCAAUGGGCGCGAGCCUGAACCAGCCAAGUAGCCGUGCAGGAUGACGGCCCUAUGGGUUGUAAACUGCUUUUAUGCGGGGAUAAAGUUCACUACGUGUAGUGUUUUGUAGGUACCGCAUGAAUAAGGACCGGCUAAUUCCGUGCCAGCCGCCGC